rnacentral:rRNA from 1 species
GACGAACGCUGGCGGCGUGCUUAACACAUGCAAGUCGAACGGAAAGGCCCUGCUUUUGUGGGGUGCUCGAGUGGCGAACGGGUGAGUAACACGUGAGUAACCUGCCCUUGACUUUGGGAUAACUUCAGGAAACUGGGGCUAAUACCGGAUAGGAGCUCCUGCUGCAUGGUGGGGGUUGGAAAGUUUCGGCGGUUGGGGAUGGACUCGCGGCUUAUCAGCUUGUUGGUGGGGUAGUGGCUUACCAAGGCUUUGACGGGUAGCCGGCCUGAGAGCGUGACCGGCGACAUGGGGACUGCGAUAGGGCGCAGACGCCUACGGGAGGCAGCGGUGGGGAAUAUUACACAAUGGGCGGGAGCCUGAUGCGGAGGCGCCGCGUGCGGAAUGACGGCCUGCGGGUUGUGAACAGCUUUCGCCUGUGACGAAGCGUGAGUGACGGUAAUGAGUAAAGAAGCACCGGCUAACUACGUG